rnacentral:rRNA from 1 species
AUUGAACGCUGGCGGCAGGCCUAACACAUGCAAGUCGAGCGGAUGAAGGGAGCUUGCUCCUGGAUUCAGCGGCGGACGGGUGAGUAAUGCCUAGGAAUCUGCCUGGUAGUGGGGGCUAACGUCCGGAAACGGGCGCUAAUACCGCAUACGUCCUGAGGGAGAAAGUGGGGGAUCUUCGGACCUCACGCUAUCAGAUGAGCCUAGGUCGGAUUAGCUAGUUGGUGGGGUAAAGGCCUACCAAGGCGACGAUCCGUAACUGGUCUGAGAGGAUGAUCAGUCACACUGGAACUGAGACACGGUCCAGACUCCUACGGGAGGCAGCAGUGGGGAAUAUUGGACAAUGGGCGAAAGCCUGACCCAGCCAUGCCGCGUGGGUGAAGAAGGUCUUCGGGUUGUAAAGCCCUUUUAUUGGGGAAGAAGAGCAGUAGGUUAAUCCCUGGCUGUUUUGACGGUACCAAAAGAAAAAGCACCGGCUAACUUCGUG